rnacentral:lncRNA from 1 species
AAAGAGCUGCUCAGCAUCUCGUGGCGGCUGGAGAGCAUUUAUUGUUGAAUAACGUUUGUUCUGUUAAUGAAAUUCAGCUUUGUAAGAACUCAGUCAUGGAAAGAUGCUCUGAAAACAUUUCAGCUGAGUCACUUUGACUCUCAGUGUUUCAUGUUAAACAUUUUAUUUUGGUUAAUGAAGUGCUGAAGGUCGUGUUUUAUGAUGUACAAGUUUACAUUUGAGGUAAACAGAAGGAAUUAAAGUUCAGGAUGUUUCAGAGUCAUAACAUUUUCCAUUAAGGAGAAGCUGACCGUGCUGUCUUGUUACAGAGUUUGGGCUUUCUGUCUACAUUACAGUGAAGAUCCUGGGAGUCAUCAUGCUCUACAGUGCAAUCGUCAUCUUUGAGUGGUGGUUCAGAUCAAGAUGCUGCAACAAACCAGUGAAGUUUCUCUGUCUGUCUCUCUCUCAGGACACAGACGAACCAGACUAUGUCAACGGUGGGAUUGAGUUUCAAGCAUCAUGAAGGAGAAGAGGAAGAUGUCAUGUUCACCAUUUUAAAGCUUCUGAAACGUCUUUAGAGUAAACUGUCUUUUUGAGGGACAGAAUUUAUCAUGAGGUUUUGCUGCUCACAAAGAAUGAUGCAAACAGCUUUUUUUUACUCCACUAAAUUGAUAUGAGCUAUACGCUGUAGUUGGUAGUUACAUGUUGUUUGUGUGUUUGUCAGGAUUUGAUGAUCUGAUUUGAAGUAAUUGGAUCAUUGUUAAUGCAGAUCAGU